rnacentral:rRNA from 1 species
UACGGGAGGCAGCAGUGGGGAAUAUUGCACAAUGGGCGCAAGCCUGAUGCAGCCAUGCCGCGUGUAUGAAGAAGGCCUUCGGGUUGUAAAGUACUUUCAGCGGGGAGGAAGGCGGUGAAGUUAAUAGCUUCACCGAUUGACGUUACCCGCAGAAGAAGCACCGGCUAACUCCGUGCCAGCAGCCGCGGUAAUACGGAGGGUGCAAGCGUUAAUCGGAAUUACUGGGCGUAAAGCGCACGCAGGCGGUCUGUCAAGUCGGAUGUGAAAUCCCCGGGCUUAACCUGGGAACUGCAUUCGAAACUGGCAGGCUAGAGUCUUGUAGAGGGGGUAGAAUUCCAGGUGUAGCGGUGAAAUGCGUAGAGAUCUGGAGGAAUACCGGUGGCGAAGGCGGCCCCUGGGACAAAGCUGACGCUCAGGGUGCGAAAGCGUGGGGAGCGAAACAGGAUUAGGAUACC